rnacentral:rRNA from 1 species
UACGAAGGGGACUAGCGUUGUUCGGAAUCACUGGGCGUAAAGCGCACGUAGGCGGAUUUGUAAGUCAGGGGUGAAAUCCCGGGGGCUCAACCUCGGAACUGCCUUUGAUACUGCAAGUCUUGAUCCGAUAGAGGUGGGUGGAAUUCCUAGUGUAGAGGUGAAAUUCGUAGAUAUUAGGAAGAACACCGGUGGCGAAGGCGGCCCACUGGAUCGGUACUGACGCUGAGGUGCGAAAGCGUGGGGAGCAAACAGG